GUGAAACUAUGGAUAAGGGGGGCUGCUGUAUGAAGAGCUCCAGGAAAAGAAAAAAAGGACUAUAUGGAGAAAUAAAUUUUUAAAAAAGAGGGCAAUUCUCUGGAGAAAGACAAGUUUUUAGAUUCAUUACGGUUGCCAAGACUCAGAACACGGAGAGAGAGGCAAACACUCCUUCUGCUAUGAGCAGAACUACCUACCUGCUAGUUUCUGUAGAACAUAAACUAAUUCCUAAUUAUGUGUGUGGCUAUUAAGAAUCUCAGAUCACAAAUUCAGGCUCUGGGGUCUCAACACUAUGGAACGUCUCUCACUGAAUGAACAGAAUCUUGGCGGCAGAGGGUGCUACAGUUUUGAUGCUUGGUUGAUCUCUUGUGGCUACAGCCCCCAUUCUCUAGGGAGGAGAGAGGCUGGAAAUGGAUCAUGCCUCCAGAAAUGAAGCCUCCACAAAAAUCCAAAAAGUACAAGGGUUCAGAAGGCUUGCAGGUUGUGGAACACGCGGAGGCAUCGGGGCAGUGGCCCACGGAGGGGGCGUGGAAGCUCCAAGCCCUGCCCCAAACUGUGCUCUACCCAGCGGUUCCACCUGGAUGUUCGUCUGUAUCCUUUACCACAUCUUUUUAUACAUAAA